AGUGAACGCUGGCGGUAGGCCUAACACAUGCAAGUCGAACGGCAGCACAGUAAGAGCUUGCUCUUACGGGUGGCGAGUGGCGGACGGGUGAGGAAUACAUCGGAAUCUACUUUUUCGUGGGGGAUAACGUAGGGAAACUUACGCUAAUACCGCAUACGACCUACGGGUGAAAGCAGGGGAUCUUCGGACCUUGCGCGAUUGAAUGAGCCGAUGUCGGAUUAGCUAGUUGGCGGGGUAAAGGCCCACCAAGGCUACGAUCCGUAGCUGGUCUGAGAGGAUGAUCAGCCACACUGGAACUGAGACACGGUCCAGACUCCUACGGGAGGCAGCAGUGGGGAAUAUUGGACAAUGGGCGGAAGCCUGAUCCAGCCAUACCGCGUGGGUGAAGAAGGCCUUCGGGUUGUAAAGCCCUUUUGUUGGGAAAGAAAAGCAGCAGGUUAAUACCCCGCUGUUCUGACGGUACCCAAAGAAUAAGCACCGGCUAACUUCGUG
rnacentral:rRNA from 1 species